rnacentral:rRNA from 1 species
AUUGAACGCUGGCGGCAGGCCUAACACAUGCAAGUCGAGCGGUAGAGAGAAGCUUGCUUCUCUUGAGAGCGGCGGACGGGUGAGUAAUGCCUAGGAAUCUGCCUAGUGGUGGGGGAUAACGUCCGGAAACGGACGCUAAUACCGCAUACGUCCUACGGGAGAAAGCGGGGGACCUUCGGGCCUCGCGCCAUUAGAUGAGCCUAGGUCGGAUUAGCUAGUUGGUGAGGUAAUGGCUCACCAAGGCUACGAUCCGUAACUGGUCUGAGAGGAUGAUCAGUCACACUGGAACUGAGACACGGUCCAGACUCCUACGGGAGGCAGCAGUGGGGAAUAUUGGACAAUGGGCGAAAGCCUGAUCCAGCCAUGCCGCGUGUGUGAAGAAGGUCUUCGGAUUGUAAAGCACUUUAAGUUGGGAGGAAGGGUAGUAACUUAAUACGUUGCUAUUUUGACGUUACCGACAGAAUAAGCACCGGCUAACUUCGUGC